rnacentral:snRNA from 1 species
CCAUUGCUCUCCGAAGAGU